CCCAACUCAUUCCUUCUUCUUCUUCUUCUUCAGUUCUCCCUCCUCUCCGGCUCUCCCUUUCUCGUUCUCUGCGACCCACACUGUAAAUAAAACCGUAAUCCAUGCUCAGUUCAAAGCCACCUCCUUUAUGCGUGUCUCAUGGCUUUCCAUUCAUUUUCAGAACUUCAAUCGCAGUCCACUCAAGAGGAUUAAAGGUUUGUCAUUUGAAGAAUACAAGACAGUUUGGGAUUGAGCAGCUUUCAAAAGUUCGGCUGCCAGCAUCAAGGACCAUCCUCUGUGCUAGUAAGUAUCCUAGAAAACAUCUCUAUGACAAGAAACAAGAGCCUAAUCCCCAGAAUGUGGAUCUUCCGCCCAUUUUACCCAAGAAAAAGAAGAAACCCUUUCCAGUUCCCAUAAAGCAGAUUCUACGGACUGGAAGGGCAGAAAAGAAGCGGGCACUAAUGGGUAUAGAAAAAAGUCUUGAGCCUCCAAAGAAUGGAUUACUUGUUCCUGGUUUGGUUCCUGUUGCAUAUGAAGUACUAGAUGCCUGGAAAGUCUUGAUUAAAGGCAUUGCACAGCUCUUGCAUGUUAUUCCUGUGCGUGGAUGUAGUGAGUGCUCAGAAGUUCAUGUGGCUCAUACUGGUCAUCAGAUUAAGGAUUGCCUCGGCCAAACCAGCAGGAAUCGACAUAGCUUCCACUCAUGGGUGACGGGUUCCAUUAACGAUAUACUUAUUCCCAUUGAGUCAUAUCAUCUGUAUGACCCAUUUGGGCAGCGCAUCAUGCAUGAAACUCGGUUCGAAUAUGACAGGAUUCCAGCAAUUGUAGAGCUAUGCAUUCAAGCCGGUGUCGAGAUUCCGGAAUAUCCUUCCCGAAGGAGAACGCUUCCCGUUCGAAUGAUUGGAAAGAAAGUGAUUGACAGAGGUGGACUUGUGGAGGAGCCUAGAACAUGGCGGUCGGGAGGUUCAUCCGCCAUUCUUGAUUUUGAUACCUAUGAAGCUUGUAGGCGGUUCCCACCUGUUCCAUUGGCAGAUUUACCUAGGCUUGCACAGGAAACAAUUGAUGCAUAUGAGGCUGUAAGACAAGGUGUGACUACUUUAAUGAAAAAACACACCGUGAAAGCUUGCGGGUAUUGUUCAGAAGUUCAUGUGGGACCUUGGGGUCACAACGUGAAGCUUUGUGGUGCAUUCAAGCACCAAUGGAGGGAUGGGAAACAUGGUUGGCAGGACGCUACCGUGGAUGAAGUCUUUCCUUCAAAUUACGUGUGGCAUGUCAAAGACCCGAAAGGGCCUCCACUGAAAAGUGCACUGAAGCGAUUUUAUGGUAAGGCUCCGGCUGUUGUUGAAUUGUGCGUGCAAGCCGGUGCACAAGUCCCUGAGAAAUACAAGCCCAUGAUGAGGCUUGACAUUGUGGUUCCUGAAAGUGAUGAGGCACAACUAGUUGCUUAACAGUAGGGCUUACCAGUUAUCACCAUAGUAAAUGCUCCGCUUUGUUGCUUAACCUUGCGAGGUCUGUGGAUCUCUUCUCAACUAAUUAUAUUGAUACAGUUUGUUCAGAGCUGCCAAAGAAUGCCUAUGGAAAAUUGAGGGCAAUGACCAACUGUUGGCGAAAGGGAAGCUUCAAGAUGACUGCUACGGUCGAAAAAAGCUAUGAGUCAUGCCAAGACUUUCUGAAGGUCUGCAUUGUCUCUUCCCCUGCAGCUUAUUACUUACACAAUGUACUUAGCAGCAGCCAUUGUUGUAAACUCAAGAUUAGUAAUGCCGAGAUAAAACAUUUCCUUGUACUUAAUCUUGUUAUGGGCGCCAAAAGAACAUAUGAAAGAGAGAAUGAUUCACUAACUCGCUCUACCAAG